GAUGAACGCUGGCGGCGUGCCUAAUACAUGCAAGUCGAGCGAACAGACGAGGAGCUUGCUCCUCUGACGUUAGCGGCGGACGGGUGAGUAACACGUGGAUAACCUACCUAUAAGACUGGGAUAACUUCGGGAAACCGGAGCUAAUACCGUAUAAUAUAUUGAACCGCAUGGUUCAAUAGUGAAAGACGGUUUUGCUGUCACUUAUAGAUGGAUCCGCGCCGCAUUAGCUAGUUGGUAAGGUAACGGCUUACCAAGGCAACGAUGCGUAGCCGACCUGAGAGGGUGAUCGGCCACACUGGAACUGAGACACGGUCCAGACUCCUACGGGAGGCAGCAGUAGGGAAUCUUCCGCAAUGGGCGAAAGCUUGACGGAGCAACGCCGCGUGAGUGAUGAAGGUCUUCGGAUCGUAAAACUCUGUUAUUAGGGAAGAACAAAUGUGUAAGUAACUAUGCACGUCUUGACGGUACCUAAUCAGAAAGCCACGGCUAACUACGUG
rnacentral:rRNA from 1 species